rnacentral:rRNA from 1 species
UACGUAGGGUGCAAGCGUUAAUCGGAAUUACUGGGCGUAAAGAGUGCGCAGGCGGUUUUGCAAGACCGAUGUGAAAUCCCCGGGCUUAACCUGGGAACUGCAUUGGUGACUGCAAGGCUAGAGUGUGUCAGAGGGAGGUGGAAUUCCGCAUGUAGCAGUGAAAUGCGUAGAUAUGCGGAGGAACACCGAUGGCGAAGGCAGCCUCCUGGGAUAACACUGACGCUCAUGCACGAAAGCGUGGGGAGCAAACAGGAUUAGAUACCCUGGUAGUCCACGCCCUAAACGAUGUCUACUAGUUGUCGGGGAUUAAUUUCCCUUGGUAACGCAGCUAACGCGUGAAGUAGACCGCCUGGGGAGUACGGCCGCAAGGUUAAAACUC